UGGGCUAUCGCCAAGCGGUAAGGCACUGGCUUUUGAUGCCAGCAUUCCCUGGUUCGAUCCAGGUAGCCCAG
rnacentral:tRNA from 1 species